AUGAGUUCUAAUAUGCAGCGCCAAGCAGUUCCGCUUUCUCGGUCCGAGAAAUGCAUUGUUGGAACUGGAUUGGAACGCCAAACAGCUCUAGAUUCGAGGGUUUCCAUUUUUUUCAAAAAAAAAUUACAUUUGAAAAAAACAUUUUUGAUAGGCAGGAGCAUAUGCUCCCAAGAGCCGAAUUGGAUUUCAGCAUUUCUUCGCAAAAAGAAUUUGCUCUGA
rnacentral:rRNA from 1 species